AGUGGGCCAACAACAAACUUUCUCAACCUGCCAACCGAGCACAUUGUUUCAUUACAUCGAAAUACGUCUGUGCGCAGUAAAUAUUUGCGUGUGCGCAGCCUCUGAAAGCCUUAGAGGGAACACUGCCACUCACCAAUUUUACCUUCUAACUUCUUGGCGAGUUAAAAAGCGUAGGUGUUCUGGGGCAAAAUAGUUUAAGAAACGCUGUUUUAGUGGAAUGUGCUUAAAUAAUAAUUCUUUACCCCAAUAAAAUGCUGUUCGAAAUAAAUUUUUAUGUCGCUACAUUUCAUUGUUACCGUUUAUAUCAGUAACAUUAUUAAAUUGAGUUGGAAAUUUUUUCUGAUUACUGAUGCUCAAAAAAAAUUGAUUGUUACUUUUUUAAUUGCUGUCUAUACAUUUUUUACCUCAUUAAACAAUACUGUUGUUUUGAGAUCAAAUGGAAUUUCAUUUUAUGCCACAGUAUAUAAUAGUGUUGUUUCUAAACUUUCAAUUAUUGUAGUAGGUGAUGAUGCCUAAUUAAUUGGUCAAUUAAGUUUUUCCUUUCCACCUAUAAGUAUUUUUACUACGUAAAACAAUGCUGGGUACUCCCGAAGUAUGUGAACCAAGAUGGCGGACCCCGGAACGUAGUAUGUGUGUCAGGUUAGGGUUAGGUCAUAAUUUCAUAUAAAAAUACUACGAGAGUCACUUGGCGAGUCCUCGAACUCGUAAUAGAACUAAAAUGGACCCCCAACCUGGUACACAUACUACGUUCAGGUGUCCGGCAUCUUGGUUCACAUACCUCGGGAGUGCCCAAUGCUGUAGUGGUGUUAAGAGGAGAUCUCCAUAUGACCUCACUUCCUGACCUGACCAUGGGGAAACAAUAGUUCUUAUGAAUUAUGAUACCUUUUGAGUUUCUGUCGGAAUAUAUAACCAUGUCGCCAUUGAAAACCUGAGAUUUGACUCACACUCAGGGGAUUACCCAGAGGGGGUGGGUUCUUUUGUAGCCUAGGAUGCUUUUUAGACCCUCGAGACUCUCUAUAACCCACAUUACGGUCUAAUUUGGCAAGUUAUGAAUUUCAGAAACCCCCCACCUGAAAAAUCCUGGCUGCACCCUUGCUCACACUACUACCAGAUUGAAGUUACACUAACAAAACUAUGCCAAACUCCUCGUUUCUGAUUUUCACUGCAGAUUCAAUUUUUAGGUGUAAUUCUCACUUUUUCUGAGCAAUGUUUUUUAAUCAACAAAUUAUCUAAGAUUCUCACUUGAUCUUGUAAUAAUGCUGCUGUAAUUAAUACUUAUGCACUGUGUGUUAAUUAAUGCUGUUAAUUACUUGUUUUAAUUAUUUGAAGCAAGAUGCAGUCAAUACUAUAACUACGAGAAUAAAUUUUAUGAUCGAG